UACGGAGGGGCGAGCGUUGUCCGAAGUUACUGGGCGUAAAGCGCGCGUAGGCGGGUUGGUAAGUCCGCUGUGAAAGCCCGGAGCUUAACUCCGGAGGGUCGGUGGAUACUGCCAGUCUUGAAGGUGCUAGGGGGAGAUGGAAUUACCGGUGUAGCGGUGAAAUGCGUAGAUAUCGGUAGGAACACCAGUGGCGAAGGCGGUCUCCUGGGGCAUUCUUGACGCUGAGGCGCGAAAGCUGGGGGAGCAAACGGG
rnacentral:rRNA from 1 species